rnacentral:misc_RNA from 1 species
CCGAGCAAUAUUGCAAACCUUCAUGGAGGCUGAGGCAACUGUAUCUGUGGGUCCAUUGAAGAAUGUUUUGAGUCUGUUGAGAUCAAUGUAUGCCUUAACUUGUAUGGAAGAAGAUGCUGCAUUCCUUCGGUAUGGGUACUUAUCAACAGAAAAUGCUGCUGCUGUGAGAAAAGAAGUAACAAAGCUUUGCAGCGAAGUGCGACCGCAUGCACUUGCCUUGGUCAGUUCCUUUGGCAUU